rnacentral:sRNA from 1 species
GAUCAUUACCGAAUUGUCAAACACGGGUUGUUGCUGGCCUCCAAAUGGGGGCACGUGCACGCUCUGUUUACACAUCCACUCACACCUGUGCACCCUCUGUAGUCCUAUGGUUCGGAAGACCCCGUCUUCCUUCUGUAGCUCUACGUCUUUACACACACACUGUAGCGAUGUCUCAUGGAAUGUUUUUAUGCGUUUAACGCGAUACAAUACAACUUUCAGCAACGGAUCUCUUGGCUCUCGCAUCGAUGAAGAACGCAGCGAAAUGCGAUAAGUAAUGUGAAUUGCAGAAUUCAGUGAAUCAUCGAAUCUUUGAACGCACCUUGCGCCCCUUGGUUAUUCCUUGGAGCAUGCCUGUUUGAGUAUCAUGAACACCUCAACUCUCAUGGUCUUCCAUGAUGAGCUUGGACUUUGGGGGUUUGCUGGCCCUGCGGCCGGCUCCUCUCAAAUGAAUCAGCUUGCCAGUGUUUGGUGGCAUCACGGGUGUGAUAACUAUCUACGCUCGCGGUCGUCUGCCAGGUAACCCUCAGCGAUGAGGGUUCAUUGGAGCUCAUAAACGUCUCUCCUC